rnacentral:piRNA from 1 species
UGGACACGUCCGGUGUGUGCGGCGCAAGC